rnacentral:rRNA from 3 species
AAAUUGAAGAGUUUGAUCAUGGCUCAGAUUGAACGCUGGCGGCAGGCCUAACACAUGCAAGUCGAACGGUAACAGGAAGCAGCUUGCUGCUUUGCUGACGAGUGGCGGACGGGUGAGUAAUGUCUGGGAAACUGCCUGAUGGAGGGGGAUAACUACUGGAAACGGUGGCUAAUACCGCAUAACGUCGCAAGACCAAAGAG